rnacentral:rRNA from 1 species
AACGAACGCUGGCGGCAGGCCUAACACAUGCAAGUCGAGCGAGAUCUUCGGGUCUAGCGGCGGACGGGUGAGUAACGCGUGGGAAUAUGCCUCUUGGUACGGAAUAGCCUCGGGAAACUGGGAGUAAUACCGUAUGUGCCCUUUGGGGGAAAGAUUUAUCGCCAAGAGAUUAGCCCGCGUUGGAUUAGGUAGUUGGUGGGGUAAUGGCCUACCAAGCCGACGAUCCAUAGCUGGUUUGAGAGGAUGAUCAGCCACACUGGGACUGAGUCACGGCCCAGACUCCUACGGGAGGCAGCAGUGGGGAAUCUUAGACAAUGGGGGCAACCCUGAUCUAGCCAUGCCGCGUGAGUGAUGAAGGCCUUAGGGUUGUAAAGCUCUUUCAGCUGGGAAGAUAAUGACGGUACCAGCAGAAGAAGCCCCGGCUAACUCCGUG